UACGUAGGGUGCAAGCGUUGUUCGGAUUCAUUGGGCGUAAAGGGUGCGUAGGCGGCGCGGUAAGUCGGGUGUGAAAUCUUGGAGCUUAACUCCGAAACUGCAUUCGAUACUGCCGUGCUUGAGGACUGGAGAGGAGACUGGAAUUUACGGUGUAGCGGUGAAAUGCGUAGAUAUCGUAAGGAAGACCAGUGGCGAAGGCGGGUCUCUGGGACGGUACUGACGCUGAGACGCGAAAGCGUGGGGAGCGAACAGG
rnacentral:rRNA from 1 species